rnacentral:rRNA from 1 species
AGUGAACGCUGGCGGUAGGCCUAACACAUGCAAGUCGAACGGCAGCACAGUAAGAGCUUGCUCUUACGGGUGGCGAGUGGCGGACGGGUGAGGAAUACAUCGGAAUCUACUUUUUCGUGGGGGAUAACGUAGGGAAACUUACGCUAAUACCGCAUACGACCUACGGGUGAAAGCAGGGGAUCUUCGGACCUUGCGCGAUUGAAUGAGCCGAUGUCGGAUUAGCUAGUUGGCGGGGUAAAGGCCCACCAAGGCGACGAUCCGUAGCUGGUCUGAGAGGAUGAUCAGCCACACUGGAACUGAGACACGGUCCAGACUCCUACGGGCGGCAGCAGUGGGGAAUAUUGGACAAAGGGCGCAAGCCUGAUCCAGCCAUACCGCGUGGGUGAAGAAGGCCUUCGGGUUGUAAAGCCCUUUUGUUGGGAAAGAAAAGCAGCAGGUUAAUACCCCGCUGUUCUGACGGUACCCAAAGAAUAAGCACCGGCUAACUUCGUG